GACGAACGCUGGCGGCGUGCCUAACACAUGCAAGUCGAACGGAGAUAUGAUUUCGGUUGUAUCUUAGCGGCGAACGGGUGGGUAACGCGUGAGCAACCUGACUCUUAGAGGGGGAUAACAUUCGGAAACGGGUGCUAAUACCGCAUAAGACCACGACCCGGCAUCGGGAUGAGGUCAAAGGAGCAAUCCGCUGAGAGAGGGGCUCGCGUCCCAUUAGAUAGAUGGCGGGGUAACGGCCCACCAUGUCAACGAUGGGUAGCCGAGCUGAGAGGCUGAUCGGCCACACUGGAACUGAGACACGGUCCAGACUCCUACGGGAGGCAGCAGUGGGGAAUAUUGGGCAAUGGGCGCAAGCCUGACCCAGCAACGCCGCGUGAGGGAAGAAGGCUUUCGGGUUGUAAACCUCUGUCCUUGGUGACGAAACAAAUGACGGUAGCCAAGGAGGAAGCCCCGGCUAACUACGUGCCAGCAGCCGCAGUAACAC
rnacentral:rRNA from 1 species